CCGAUAUGAUGUGCAUUUUAUAAGUUAGGAAGAUUUCCGGUUAAAAAGAAAUAUACAAUUUCUCUUUUUUGGUAAGAUAAGCUACCCCUGCCUUAUAAAAAAGACGCAACAUGCAUGAGCAAACGAUAGUUUUAAUUUCCACUAAUGAAUAACUCCGUAGGUUGUAAAGUAGCGUCCCUAGUCCCAUUGACACGUCACGAAUUAUGCUGUUAUGUGUAGAUCAUAUCUGAACAUUUCACAGGACUGUCAGGAGUUUGAAAUCCUAGCAAUAAAAUAUGUAAAAAUAUGCCAAACUCGACUAUCACAAUAGAGCUUCUCUCGAAGACUACACAAACUAGGGGAAAACGGGAAGCAGUACCUGUUUCUAGAAAUGGCAGUGUUGCAUUACAACCCCAAAAAAAUAUGGUCAUGCAGCAAAAAUUGACUCCAAAUGCAGUUGAAAAACGGUACCUAGAAUGACUGAAUAACACUGUUAAUAUCCGAAUAACACUUGUAAUGACCUAUUAAUACUUGAAAUUUUGUAGUCCGAGAUUACUCUGACGUCCAAUGGCUGUUUUGCCAGACAAGCUGGGGCCGUGGGAUGUCAGAGCUCGUCCCAUAUAUUUUUUCACAAAGCAAUGCGCAGUACAAGUGAAGUAAACUUCAACGUGUUGAAGGCAGUCAUUUAUAGUAGAAGUAGAAAUACCAAAAAGUGGAGAUUUGCCUGUCCAAAAUAGAUGUGCUGCUUCAAUCGCUUCUGGUGCAACUAACGGCUUGGAUUAUAUAAAUCGGUUAUCAAUUUGUUCAUUUUUCAUUUAUCUCUUGAUUUAUGUAAGCUUCGCCUACCUGCCACCCUUUGUUUUUCCAUAUUUUAAACAGUUUUUACAGUGACCCAUUGAUUUCUGCAUUUUGUCUUUCAUUUUUAAAGAUUAUCAAUUGACCACGAGAAAACAGUGAUGAUUUAUGCAAAUGACCAUAAUCUAACACCUCAUUCAUUUACGAUUCAAGAAGACUAUAUGUCCGAGAGCGUCUGAUUGUCAUCGUGUUUGGCACUAAACGUCUAAUACCGAUCUCCUGCAUUUGUCCUGCAAAGGAGGUGAAAAAUUGUGGUUGGCUAUGCAACUAAAUGUUGAACAUCGAUCUCCUAUAAAGGAGGUGAAAAAAGUAUAAAUAUUUGCAUAUUUGAGUCUCGAGGUCGCGAAAUCUGUCGUUACUUGACUUGCUUUAGAAAAUAAAAGUAAAAAUGUCUGAAUCGAUGGGUCACUGUAAAAACCGUCUAAUAAAGAGAAAAUAAAGGGUAGCAGGUAGGCAGGUGAAGCUUACAUAAAUGGAGAGAUAAAUGAAAAAUGAACAAAUUGAUACCCCAUUUAUAUAAUUCCAAGGCUGUUAGACAAGAAGCGACAAAGCAGCGCAUCUAUUUUGGACGGACAAAUAUCCACAAGCUCUGACGUCCCAUGGCCGCAGCUUGUCUGGCAAAACAGUCGUUGAUCGUCAGAGUAAUCUCGGACUAGAAAUUUUGAUAUUAGCACAUACAUGUAUUGGGGACUUUUAAUCAUUGAUUAUUAAAUAAGAAUAUAUUAUUGAUGUAUUUAAUAACUUAAAAAUGAUUUACAGAAAGCGAUAAGUUCAUAAAGAUCAUUUUAGAUUUAGUGUGUUCUUCCAACAUGGCGGCCAUUGUGAUUUCCACGGUCACCAUGUUGGAUGUACACACUAAAAUUAAAAUCUAAAAAAUUCUUUAUGAACUAAUAUCUGCUUUCUGUAAAUCAUUAUUACAUUCAUGACAUUAAAAAAUACAUGGAUAAUAAACUAUUAUUUAAUAAUCAAUGUUUAAAAGUCACCCAUAUAUGCUAAUAUUAAAAUUUCAAGUGUUAUUCAGUCAUUACAAGUGUUAUUUGGAUAAUAACAGUGUUAUUCGGUCAUUUGUGUUACCCGUUGAAAAAGAUCGGCUAUUUUUUUCACCUAUUGAAAAAAGCAUAUUUUUAAUGGCUCUGGCAAAAAUUGAAGAUAUUUCUAUACAGUUUACUUUGUAAAAUGUGAAUAUGAUUUUCUGCAAAAAAAAAAGGCAAACAAAUAAUUGCGUUCUUGUAACCUUUACAAUGCUAUAGACAUGACAGAUAUAUAUAAGACAUGUAAGAGAGAAAUGUGCUACAUUUUACAUGUACAUGUAUCAAAGUAUCAAUUAAUUGAUAAGAAAUUUCAUUGGUAAGUUUCCGUGGUCAAAUUUUGAACUCUUAAUAAAAUAUAAUUAGCAAACCAGAAAAAACAUUGUUAAGCCAUGUUGUGACCUCCAAAAACAAACAAAAAUCAUUUUUCGAGAAGUUAAGGGGAGAUAAUUCAAACCUUGAAAAUAAAAUUAAAAAAAGCCUACACAUUUACUUAUGCAUGUAAAUUUUACAUAUUACUUACAUCUUCAAGUAGAUGAACAAAGACUUGUAAGAGUUUUUAAACCCUGACUGAGUGCUCAAUGUCAUGUUUGUUUGGUUCGUGAGAUAAAAGUUGGAACUUAAAUUAAAAAAAUUGAAAUAAAAAAAAAAUCCAUGUUUGAUACACUUGUUUUAAGCAUAUAAAUAUAAAAAAGAAGAUGUGAAAUGAUUGCCAUUGAGAUGACUCGUUACACAAGACCAAGUGACACAGAAAUUAAUAACUAUAAUGCCUAAAUGACCAAAGCCUAUAACGCAUAGCCCACAACAAAAUCAUAAAGUGGAUAGGACUAGCAUCUUUUUAAAAAGUAUAUUAUAUAAACCAUUUAUAUAGCAGAAGAUGUGAUAUGAUUGCCAAUGAGACAACUAUCCACACAAAAAUGCAGAACAAACUGUUCAUGAUCACUGAUGAUAUCUCUUUCAUUACAGACAAUGUGUAGAAAAUCGACAAAAAUGUGAAUGUAUACACGGUAUAGAGAAACUGACCUACAAUGAGUUUUGAUAAUCAAGAAACAGAUAAAGGUUAUACAGGUGAAGCUCACUUAAUAUUUUAUUCUGCCUUUUUAACUUGUUUUAUUCAAAAAUCACAGUUUUAUUGGAGGCUAAAGUCAUGUCUAGCAUAUACAGCAUGGUGCUUUAAUUGGUUCACAUUUUUUAACAGCACUUGGAACACUGCUUGGUAUGACUUUCGUUGUCAGACUUUUAAGAACGUCAUUUUUGAUGUUGUGUAAUGUAAAAUCAUGAAAAUCAAAGGGGAAUUACUCUAACUUAAAUUUGUAAAUUCAGAUUUUAAACCAGAAUCGUAGUGCAGUUAAGCCAUUAUUGAUAUGAACAAAAAUGGCAAAACACGGGAAAGAAUUGUCAGAUGACAAAAAAAAGCUAUCAUAAGUAAUAAAGGGGUCAUUGAGCAGCAGUGUUUCAACAAGCUAGUAGCUAGUCCACAAUUUCAAGGCUUUGAAGUGUUGCGAUGUGUGGUUAUCGGAAAUGUCCUCAAAGCAGAGAAAACUGUAAAGAAUAAAACUGUCAUACAUGAACUGGCAUUAAUGUUACAUGUAUUACCUUAAUAUAUUUAUAUAAUAUUACCUUGUUAUCCCAUAGACUGUCUUGCAUCAUGUGUGUUACAUGAAUUACCCUGAUUACUCAUGACUACAAUUUUUCUCUUUAUUGUGAAAAAGACAGUUAAUUAAUUUUCUCACACACAACUUGUUUUUGUCUGUCAUGUCUGUGUUUCCAUGAUUUUAUACUAAGUUGUACUGUUUAAAAGAAAUUCUGAAAUUUUAUACUAAGUUGUGUAAGACUUUUUAUUUUAAGGAGAUGAUGACCAUGAUAAACAGAACAGAAGAAAGAACUUGUUGGGGAAGAAAACGGAUGGAAAGAAAGGACAGAAAGAUAAAGGAUAUGUCAUGUUUGAUGAGGAUGAUUCUGACGAGUCACUUGUGACAUCAGAGGAUGUUAAG
rnacentral:lncRNA from 1 species